AAUAUUGGACAAUGGGGGCAACCCUGAUCCAGCAAUGCCGCGUGUGUGAUGAAGGCCUUAGGGUUGUAAAGCACUUUCACUGGUGAAGAUGAUGACGGUAACCAGAGAAGAAGCCCCGGCUAACUUCGUGCCAGCAGCCGCGGUAAUACGAAGGGGGCGAGCGUUGUUCGGAAUUACUGGGCGUAAAGGGCGCGUAGGCGGUCUUUUAAGUUAGGCGUGAAAGCCCCGGGCUCAACCUGGGAACUGCGCUUAAGACUGGAAGACUAGAAAACGGAAGAGGGUAGUGGAAUUCCCAGUGUAGAGGUGAAAUUCGUAGAUAUUGGGAAGAACACCAGUGGCGAAAGCGGCUACCUGGUCCGAUUUUGACGCUGAGGCGCGAAAGCGUGGGUAGCAAACAGGAUUAGAUACCCUGGUAGUCCACGCCGUA
rnacentral:rRNA from 1 species